rnacentral:lncRNA from 1 species
AUGACCGUUGGUAUGAUGUAUAUAAAUUUGUGUGUGCUUUCAUUUUCGGUAGAGAACAAGGAGAACACACCAAGCUUUCUGAAAUACAACUCUUUACAUUGCUAAAUCUUUUGUUGAGCUCUAGUACUUAUAUUCGUAUAUAUAUCUAUAUUGAGAGUUCAUAGUUUCGGUUGUAUUACACUUAUUCAUUGUAUUGUUCAA